CGUGACCAAGCCCAGGGGACAAAUGGACACAGUGGACACAGCGAUGCCCCAGGACCCAGGACAGGGCAUCUGGAUAUGGAUCUCCGCAUGUUUGGCUUUCUCUGUCCCAGGGGCUAUCCCAGAAGUUGGAAGGGGUGAAGACUCCUUUGGGCUGUCCACUCUUGGGUCUGUGCCUCGAAGAAGAACCUCUUCCUGCUCACUAUGGAUAUGCCUUAUGACCUCGCAGACCGCAAAAAGGAGACCCAGGGGCCACAAAGGUCCACAGCCCCCAGCAUCCUCUCUGCCUUCCCAUUCUCCCUCAGCUGAACAUGGAGGCCUCAGAAGGAAAGAACGGAGGCCAGAUGGGAGAGAAAGCAAGCAGGGAAAGGGGAGGAUCUAUCAAGUUCCAGGUCUGGACCAUGAGAUGCUGCAACUGCAGGUAUCCUCCUCCACGUCAACAUCACUCCCAGCCUUGCCCCCCAUCCAGACACAUCAAGAAGGAAUCUUGAGGUGGUGUCAGAAGGAUUGCCCUGAAGUUCCUUGGGAAAUGGGGUGGCCCCGUCCGCACCACCCCAGGCCUGCGCCACUUAUAGCUCAUCUUCAUCCAGCUUGGCAAGUCUGGCUUGGCAGGGAGGGGUGUUUGGAACUGGCGGAGCUGGAGAAGGGUCGGGAGCAGCUUGGGGGGUGUCACUGGGUGCCUGAAGAAAGACUCAAGUCAGAGGAUUAAAAAGAAUUCCAGGAAUCCACCCUCACUCCUUUCUUUUGGGUGUAUGUCCCUAACCAAGCCACCUCCUCUUGAUAGAUGCCUUAGAUUAUCUAAGACAGUCAGCUUCUCCAGGGGUUAAACUGGAGAAGGGAGGGUCCAAGCAGGGAAGUGGGAAGGGACAGACAAAAGGCAGGUGGUGGAAGAGAGAAAUGAUGUGGAUGUGGUGGAGGGGGAUCUAGGGACCCCAUAAUAAGAGAGGCCCUCCCCAUCCUGCCCCUAUAACAAGGGAACUCCACUCCUCAUACCUGUGUGUCCAGGGGCAGAGGGGCUCUGGCCACCUCCCCUUUGGGUAGCAGCAGCAGGGAAGGGAGAGAGCCAUUGAUGGGUGCAUGUGUGCUGACCUGGGCCCGGUCUCCAGGGCGCAUUCUCCCAGGACUCCCCACCCCAAGCCCUCCUGGCCGCCCCAGGCUGUUGGUCUGGCUCUCUCGUCUCUGAUACUCAAUGGGUGACUGCAACGCUGGGCAAAGAGAACAGAAGGAAGGGUUACAACACAGACAUGUCCUUUCCCCCAAGUGCUCCGCCCACACCAUCCUCCCACUUGGCCCCCCUCCCAUGAACUGUCAGCCAAAGUAAAUUGCCAGGGAGAUGGGGAGAAGCUGGGGCCAGAGGGCAAGGAUAGGAGAUUGGGCAGUGAGGGAUUCGGGAGGUCAAAGGGCCAAAGGAGCCCCAUGAGGGAGGGAGGGUGAGAGCUUCACCAUUGAGAAAGUCCCGCUGACUUUCCAGGAUCUGAGCCACUUGCUUGAUCCAGGCCUGACUCACUGCAGGGUCUGCGGUCUGCAGGACAUAGCGCUGGAUCCCGCCCUCUGGCCCUCUGGAGGUCAGUGCAAAGCGGCAGGGGUCACCCUGGAGGUUCCCCUCCAGUCCCAGACAGCUCACCUGGGUUGGCAAAUAGGAGAUGGCGCCCAAAUUGUUUAGGCCCUCUGUGGUUCCUGCCCCCUCCAACAAGUCCAAGAGCCAGACAUUCCCUCAGAGGCCUCACCCCAUCCCAGUCAGGCCCCUCCCUAGUGGCCUCCUCCCCACCUUGAUGCUGUUCUUGUACACAUAUCCGGCCUGUGUUCCACCCCGUACUCCUCCUCCCAGGGCCUCACUGAAGAUGACAAUUUGCUCGAAGAGGAAGACACGUCUCUCUCGACCUCGGGAGGACAGCAGCCCCCCCGCCUCGGGCUCGGUGACCCAGAAUGUGUCCUGGCCCAAGAGCUUCCCCUGAGCAGUCAGUUUGCCCUAGAACCAAAGGGCAGCGAUUUUGAGAAAAGAGCAAGAAGAGAAAAGCGCCACACUCUGCUCCUCCCCCCUUCCCCCCGAGGCUCCCAACCAACCAUGGGGUCAGGUCCAGGGGAGGACAGUUCCCCAUGAGGACUUCUCCUCGAGGGCUCAGACUGGGACAAAAGAGCCUCAGGCCUCCCAUUUCCUGUUCUAUCCCCUGUACCUCCCAUUUCCUGUUCUAUCCCCAUACCUCAAACCCCCGAAGUCUCCCCAGGGUCAUCAUGUCAUUGCAGCGCUUGGGUACAAAGCACAUGACCUCCACAGCUUGCUGGGUCACAGGUGAAGAAACGAGCAUUGUCAUUGUGGAGAAAAAGGCCUCUUCAGACCAUGUUUCAACUCUCGACCAGCCUCCCCCUAAAAACCAGGCGGUGCAUCCGCACCCGAGGAGCUGUGGGAACCCAGGAGACUGGAAAACUAAGAGGUACGUGGUGUGUGUCCUGGCAGAUAUGGGGGUCCUCACCUUCAGCUCUUCCGUGUCCAUGCCAGCUCGACUAUAAUAUUUGAGAAAAUCCUAAGAUGUAGAAAAGAAAUGCUCAGGGAGGUGUUGAGGACACCCUCAGAGACUCUGACAUCCUCCCCUGAGGACACAGGUGAGGAUGCCCAGGAAGUCUGGGGGGGGGGGGGGAGGAGUCUUAGGAACCCUGGGGCGAUGAAUGAGGAAAGGGGUGUGCCAGCCAGCAGAACCCCCAGGGAACAGGUGGCUCCGACCUUGAGCAACAGCUGGUACUUCAUGAUCCUCUGCACUGGUUUGAUGAGGAGGUCGUUGAGCUGCAGGCGGUGCCCGAGCUGCUGCCGGAGCUCCUGGGGACAGGGACCAAUGGUUAUGCAGCCAGAAGAGCCCGAGGAUUCCAGCCUGGUCCCCCCAGGUACCUCGGCCACUGACCUCAAAGUAGCUAUCCCCAAAUUCUGAGACCACGUGCUCUGACUUGGGCUUAUUCUGACAGUACACCACGUACAUGUGCAGCCGGCGCUCCUAACGGGUCAAGUUGAAGGGGAGCAGGAUGGGUGAGGAACCAGAGCUCCUCUCCAGGGCCCUGACCCACUCCCAAGCCCCGCCCCCCGCGGCCCCACCCCCUUAGGCCUCACGUGUUUGAUGAACAGCUGAGCCAGCCAAUCAGGAUCCUCCAGGCAGCGCUGUAGCUCCUGCAGGAAAUAGCUGGAGGGGUUGGCAAGAAAAGGCUGGUCAAAUACCCCCACCCCACUCAACUAAGCUGUCUACCUUAGUUGUGCCAUUAAGCCACUCCAAAUGUUCCUCAGGCGACAACAGGCCCAUGGGUAGGUCACAGAGACAACCAGCCACAUGCCCUUCCCCCUCACUCUCGGGGAUCCACCACUCACUCUCGAUGCCACUCAUAGAUCUGCUGGAUGUUCCCAAACACAAUCCUGUCACGGCCUCGAAGACACUCCGGGACCCCCUGAGCAGCCAUGGUGGCCAUGUAACCCUGCAGGAAGGUUGGGAGGCGGGGGGAGGGCAAGAGUGUGGGAGGCCAGCCUUGGUGGGAAAACCGCCUCCCUCCAGAAGUCCAGGAGGCCGGGGUGCGGGGAGGGUGGCACAGAGGAGCACUAGGGCAGAUCCUACAGUUAGCCUUGAGCAGAGAGAAAGGGCUGGGCUAGGGCUGGGAAGAGAACGGGGAGCUACCUCCACAAUCUGCCCCAAGUCGUCCACAUACAUUUUCUCUGUCUCUACCAGUUCACUCAAGACAUACCUGGGAAGAGAGCAGGAGUGCACAUCCUUGGUUUAGCCACUUCCUCCCUCCUGGACUAGAAGCCCCUUCAUUACCACAGCCAACCUCAGAGGAAAUUCCAAGUAUCAAAUCUAAAAUGCGAGGGAUAGUUCUCUGGAAGUUGCACAAUGGGUGGGGGGCAGAGGAGAGGGAGUGUGUGGGGACACUUACAUACUCCUUUCCAUAGCCUUCUUCUUCUGUUCUUCUUCACUCUCAGGGGCUUGGGACAGAGUUCCCUCCUCAGGUGGCUGGAAGGAAAGAACAUCCUAGAGUAAAAAAAAAAAAAAAAAGGAUGCUUUUUGGGGAGCCAUGCAGACCCACUUCUUCAUACCUGCGUCUUAUCUCCAGGGCCCUCCAACAAAGUGGUCAGCAGGGUCAAUUCGGGCAGCUCCUCUCCUGUGGCUAGAGCUGGUUCCAGCACCCAGUUCUGGGAGCCAGAAGUCAAGUGUCAGAAGUCACGGACAGUAGCUACACCUCCCCAGUGACCAGUGGCCCCCAGCCUGCCCUCUCUCCCAAGGUCCUUCAUGGAUGUCCUUCAUGCUUCUGUGGUACUCUCUGCUCACCUCAUAUGGUCCAGCCUGGCCACCGUCUGCCUCAGUUUCCACACUGAGACAAUGUUUGGAAUGAUCCAACCAUCUUCUCAGGCCACUGACUGGCCCUGGGGGGCCCGGGGAACAGGGGCCAGAGCUGAGGCCAGAGCUGGGGCCAGAGGGGGCAGCCAGACCCGAAGUAGCUGAAGCUGAGAUACUCCCCUCACUGCCAGCAAUGGAAUAGGAUUCUAAUGGGGAGUGAGGGUGGGGGGAGGGGAGAAAAGGGGCCAUAGAUAUUACUCCAGCUCGAGAUUCAGGGUCCCCAGGGAGCUCCCAGAGACUCCUCUUCAUGAUGCUGAGCCCUCUCUCCCAGGGCCCACUCUCUUGUCAUUCUCAUUUGAGUUCGCCAGGAUAGAAAAUUUCACCCGGGCACCCUUGGGAGGAAGGACAGUAAACACCUGGGCUCUCAAGGCCCGGAACCUCCAGUUAUAUGUGGAGGCUCCCCCAUAUCCUGAGCAUGCCAUAGAUAUGGAGGGGCAGCCAUCUGGGCAGCCACUGGAAGCUGGGGGUAGCCAUCUGCUCUCCUACCAGCCGCCCCCUUCCAAUGGGCACAGACCAUUCCCUGAGAAGGUGGGGGGGGUAGAGCUAAAAGCCCAUCUGCCACCCCCAGACCCCUCCUGCACCAAUUGCAGUAGUCACUAUAAAAAGACUUCUGCAGCCCAUCUCCCCAACACAUGCACAAACCCAAUGGGGUGGGGGGCGGGGGGG